rnacentral:tRNA from 1 species
UCCCAGGUGGCUCAGUGGUAAAGAAUCUGCCUGUCAAUACAGGAGAUGCAGAAGGCAUGGGUUCGAUCCCUGUUUCAGGAA